AAAUCAAGCAAGCUCAGAGAUAUUUAUGUCACUAGUCUAUGUCACCCAGCUAGUGGGAAAUACAGCUCGGAUCGAAACCUAGGUCUGCCUGCUCCAAGUAUAUCUGUCUUCCACAGUGCCUUGAAAAAUACUGUCGGAUUUUUAGGCUUCAGAGUCUUCAGUGCACUUAUUGGAACUGAACUUGAUGUGCCUGGCUCCUGCAAACACAGGCUGCUGCCACCACUGGCUAAGAUGUUGCUCCGUCUUCUGGAUCCAUCACUGAGAAUUCAAAGCUCUUCUGGAUUGCUAGCUGCCUUCAGCGGGGACCAGACCGUCUCUACCCACAUAUUCACUACUAGCGGCUGAGCAGAUGGCAAGCGCUUAAUCACUGCAUGGUGGAAAGAAGGAAGUAAGGAAGGGAGGGAGGAGGGAGGGAGGAAAGACUUGUCCUCAACAUCUUUGUCUGCCAGACAAUAGGUCCCACCCAGAUAAGGGUUCCCUGUGGCAGUCUGUUGCUCCUGUCUGGCAGGUACUCUGGCAUAGAAAACAGCUCUGGGCUUUAGCCUCACUAACUGGGUUCCAGUUGGGCCUUUGUAUUUUCGAACCCAGCAAGCUUGGGGAAGCUAUUUCUAUGAGCCCCAGUUUCCACUCUGUAAGAGGGAAUAAUCAUCACUCCCUUCAUAUAGGGUUGUUGUGAGGAUAAAAUCAGAUCAAGGGACCUCAUGUCCUCUGUAAACUGGGUUUCCUUAGGAAUAGAGGUUUAGCAUAUGGGGAAUCAGGAUUCCCGAAAUAAUAAUGCCAUUAUCAUUGGAUUAAUGUCUACUGUGUGUUAACUGCUGAGUCAUUUCUUUACAGACGUUGUUUCAGGGUAUAGUUUAUAAGGUGGGCAGUUUGGUGAUGAUGAAACAGAGGUUUGGAAAGGUUAAGUGACUUGAAAAACUAGAAUUUGAACCUAGGUUCCCAAUGGUCUCCAAGCCCAAAUAAUCUUCUCUCCACUUCAAGCUACUUUCCCUUAAGGCCAAUAUGGGUCAUGCAGGAGUAGAAGGGUCGAUGUGGUCAUGGUGAUGGGUGUUGGACUCAAAGACUCUGGAAAAGACUUUUUUUUUCUUUUUUGAGAUGGAAUCUUGCUCUAUCCCCCAGACUGGAGUACAGUGGUGCGAUCUCGGCACACUGCAACCUCUGCCUCCCAGGUUCAAGUGAUUCCCCUGCCUCAGCCUCCCAAGUAGCUGAGAUUACAGGCGUGCGUCACCGCAUCUGGCUAAUUUUUGUAUUUUUAGUAGAGAUGGGGUUUUACCAUAUUGGCCAGGUUGGUCUUGAACUUCUGACCUCGUGAUCCACCUGCCUCGGCCUUCUAAAGUGCUAGGAU
rnacentral:lncRNA from 13 species